rfam:Tessaracoccus flavus strain RP1T, complete genome.
UGGAUGCUGGCGACCCGCCCCGGACGACGGAUCAGUACCCGGUGAAGACAAGACUGGCCAGC